rnacentral:rRNA from 1 species
UACCGGCAGCUCGAGUGAUGGCCGUUCUUAUUGGGCCUAAAGCGUCCGUAGCCGGCCACGCAAGUUCGUCGGGAAAUCCACACGCUCAACGUGUGGGCGUCCGGCGAAACCUGCGUGGCUUGGGACCGGACGGCCCGAGGGGUACGGCCGGGGUAGGAGUGAAAUCCUGUAAUCCCGGCCGGACCACCGGUGGCGAAAGCGCCUCGGGAGGACGGAUCCGACGGUGAGGGACGAAAGCCAGGGUCACGAACCGG